ACUGUAUGUUGCUGUCUGACCUCUUAUCUUCUCAUUUUUCUCCCUCUCUCUCCAUUUCUCUUCCUCCCUCCUCCUCUGGCAGGGAUCACAUAUACACAGUGGACACGGAGACUGCCAACGGUGACGAGAUCUUUUUCAGUAAGAAAAUGACCUGGAAGUCCAGACAGGCAGACGUGGACACUUGCCGAAUGAAAGGAAAGCAUAAGGAUGAGUGUCACAAUUUCAUCAAAGUCCUCCUGCAGCAAAACGGUGACACCCUGUUUGUUUGUGGAACAAACGCCUUCAAUCCGUCCUGUCGAACCUACAAGGUAGGGAAGCACGCGACGCUUCGUGUAAGACACAUUUGUUCUCAGAUAUACUGCACCCGCUGGGCCUCAUUUAUCAAAAGUGCAUGCAGCAGAGAAACAGUUGCAGCAUAAUUUUUAAACAAAUGUUGAGAUUUGCCACUUUGAAUGUGAGCGUAGGGCACACCCAGAUAAAACCCACUGCAGGUUGCGCAUUGUGAAUGUAAGGCUGUGGAUUUAUGCGUUUAUGAGAAAAUCUAUGUUUUACACUUCUGGAUUUCAGGUGAUUUGUUUGUUGUAGUUUACAUUUUUUUAUUGACUUUUUCUAUCAAAUUACUUUGAAGUUUAGAAAAGAAGAUUGUAUGAGUGGUCCAUCUGCUCUGCAAAUUUGUGUCGGUGUUGUUGCCUAAAUAUUGUAGGACAUUUAAGAAUGACAUAUUAAAACCUUUGUGAAUAAAAUCGGUUGUGUUUCGAAUUGGAAACGUUUUUAUAGCAGUGAUUUGACAUCAGAAUUUCUCAGGAAGAUGUACCUUAAACAAUGUUACUGUAUAAAUCUGAACCUGCUGAGUAAUUAAUUGCUGACUGUUUGCACAAAACAGAUAAUGAACAAUAAACAGGAGAUACUUAAAACAUCCUAUGUCAUUCGUGGGCACAUGAGGCAAAGGCUUACUAGAGCAAAGUGAUCAGAGGCUAUAAAAUUGAUUUAUGGUUUGAAAGUUUAUGCCAAACGCUAGUAAUGCAUUCAAGGUGGAGAAUUUCCUGCUUUAGAGACGUGAGCCUCACCAGAACUGUGUGGUUUGGACAGGAUGCACAUUUUCAUACAUGGAUGUCAGUGGAAAGCAACUCGAAAGGACACUAAUGGGGAGAUAACCUUGUGCACAUCUGCACAAUAUUGCACUGGAUUGUUGGGUGUAAAACUAAUGCUCUGCAGUGCGAUGAACUAAUAUUGACCUGUGUUGAUGCUGCACAAUAUAUGGGACAGCAAUCUUCUUUGCAUUAUUUAGUGUCUGCAAACUGACGGUCACAAAGGACAGUUUGGAUUACAUAUUCAGAAGGUUACUAUAAUUCAGGCCUAAUGCAUUCAAAUCAUGAUAGUCCAUCAAACAUUUGGCCAGCUAGAUGAUGCAUCACUUCCUUAAAUGCCCAAUUUUUAUGUAGCUCUUACUGAUAUAUUGAGGAAAUCAUGAGGAUGAAAAAGAGAAAAAUGUGACUUAAUCAGUAUUGUCAUCACAACAUUGAAGAAUAAUAUUUCAGUAUCAUAUUUUACUAAUAUUGUGCUGCUUUAUUCUGAGGACUGUCAGGACUUCAUCACGCAAUUCCGGCUGAUAAUUGACAACUUGUACAGCUUUGAAAUGUCAUUCGCAGUCAGAUCCCUAAAUAUGUAAAAAAAAAAAAA